rnacentral:lncRNA from 1 species
GAUUUUGAACUGAUGGGAUAAAAUGAAGGAUUAAAACGCAAAUAACCCAUCAGUGUUUAAAACCCUUUUCAUCUCCAAUUAAAAGCCUACUCUGCAGCAGCAAUAGACGCAAAGUUGCUUCAUCUUCCUUUUUUCUUUUUUUGUUUUAAAACAACAGAGGGAAGAAAGAGGGAUCUGCUAGGCCUUCUUUAAAGCCCUAACUACCGCCACGCCACCGCCUUUCAAGCUUCGCCGCCGACUCCGAUUCAGGUAAGUUUCGCCCUUUCCUUUUUUGCCUUUUCUUUUGCACCAAAAACAGAGAAGCAAAGAGAAAAAAAAUAAAAUAAAUAAAACACAAAGAAAAUUACCUUCAAAAAUUGUUUUUGAUUAUUUGUUUGUAUUUCAGUAUUUUUCCAAUACAAUAUUUUUCUCUUUUUAGUACCCAAUCCCCCUUUUCUUUGUGAUCGAUUUUGGCUUUUUAAAACCGAUCUAUAAAACAUUCAUUUCCUAUUUUUUGUUUUCGUUCUUUUGUUUAUUCUUUUCCCCAUUCCUCGCAUGCUUCCUUUUGCUGUUGUUUUUGUCUCUGUUGCAGGUGUGUCCGGUGUGGGUGGUGCACGUGAUGGCCAAGGGCAGAGGUAGCAUGGGGCGACUGAUCAGAGGCGUGCAUGCGUGAGGGGAGGUGAAGCGGCGGCAGCUACAAAGCAUGAGGCUAGGGUUUUUUUGUUUGGUUGAAAACUAGUAUAGUUUGGGCCAUUCGGGCCUCUAAGGUUUUUAUCAUUAUUAGGCAUUUGGAUUGGGUUUGUUUUUUGGGUUAAUUUUGUUGUAAUGGUCUGUUAAUUUUUAUUAGUCUUGGUCCAUUUGGGUUUUAUGGUCUGGGCCUGGGCAAAAAUGGGCUUUUACAGCUGCCCCUCUUUGCUCAUUUUCGUGUAACGAGAAUAGAGCAAAGACAUCAAAAGGGCCAAUUUUGCCCGGCCUUGCCGAGUCUUGACUUUUUGGUGCUCAUCUUUUUUAAGUAGCCUUAUUCCAGCCUGCUACGUCUUGUUGCUUCGAUCCACUCUACUGCAACUUCAGAUACGCCUUGUAGCUUCAAUCUACUCUGCUACGACUCCAUGGGGAUGAGAUUUGUGUUUUUAGUGUGCUCCACUACUAUUUAGGGAGAUAAGACUGGAUGUGAUCUGCUCCACUACUACUUAGGGAGAUAAGACUGUAAUCUUCAAUCUAUUCCACUGCCAAAUACAGGGAGAUAGAGUUAUCAGCUUCAAUGUACUCCACUGUAGUUACAGGAAGGUAAAAUCUGCCAUCUUCGAUCUACUCCACCACUAGUAUGGGAAGACAAGAUCUGUAUCUUGGAUCCACUUCCUAUCAAUAUAGGAAGAUAGGACCUGCUAUCUUCGAUCUACUUCACGCCAAUACAUGAAGACAAGAUCUGCUUUCUGCGAUCUACUUCGCCACCAAUAUGGGAAGACAAGAUCUGCAUCUUCGACCCACUUCCUAUCAAUAUAGGAAGAUAGGACCUGCUAUCUUCGAUCUACCUCACGCCAAUACAUGAAGACAAGAUCUGCUUUCUGCGAUCUACUUCGCCACCAAUAUGGGAAGACAAGAUCUGCAUCUUGGAUCCACUUCCUAUCAAUAUAAGAAGAUAGGACCUGCUAUCUUCGAUCUACUUCACGCCAAUACAUGAAGACAAGAUCUGCUUUCUGCGAUCUACUUCGCCACCAAUAUGGGAAGACAAGAUCUGCGUCGUCGAUCCACUUCCAAUCAUUAUAGAAAGAUAGGACCUGUUAUCUUUGAUCUACUUCACGCCAAUACAUGAAGACAAGAUCUACUUUCUGCGAUCUACUUCGCCACCAAUAUGGGAAAACAAGAUCUGCAUCUUGGAUCCACUUCCUAUCAAUAUAGAAAGAUAGGACCUGCUACCUUCGAUCUACUUCACGCCAAUACAUGAAGACAAGAUUUGCUUUCUUCGAUCUACUUCGCCACCAAUAUGGGAAGACAAGAUCUGCAUCUUCGAUCCACUUCCUACCAAUAUAGGAAGAUAGGACCUGCUACUUUCGAUCUACUUCACGCCAAUACAUGAAGACAAGAUCUGCUUUCUUCGAUCUACUUCGCCACCAAUAUGGGAAGACAAGAUCUGCAUCUUCGAUCUACUUCGCCACCAAUAUGGGAAGACAAGAUCUGCAUCUUCGAUCCAUUUCCUACCAAUAUAGGAAAACCGGAUCAGCUAUCUUCGACCUACUUCACGCCAAUACAUGAAGACAAGAUCUGCUUUCUUCGAUCUACUUCGCCACCAAUAUGGGAAGACAAGAUCUGCAUCUUCGAUCUACUUCGCCACCAAUAUGGGAAGACAAUAUCUGCAUCUUCGAUCCACUUCCUACCAAUAUAGGAAAACCGGAUCAGCUAUCUUCGACCUACUUCACGUCAAUACAUGAAGACAAGAUCUACUUUCUUCGAUCUACUUCUUGUCCCGGGAGAUAGAACUAUCAGCUUCAAUGUACUCCACUGUGGUCAGGGAGGUAAAAUCUGCCAUCUUUUGAUCUGCUUCGCUGCCAAAUACAGGAAGGCAAGAUCUGCAAUCUUCAAUCUAUUCCACUGCCAAAUACAGGGAGAUAGAGUUAUCGGCUUCAAUGUACUCCACUGUAGUCACAUGGAGGUAAAAUCUGCCAUAUUUGAUCUUCAAUCUAUUCCACUGCCAAAUGCAGGGAGAUAGAGUUAUCGGCUUCAAUAUACUCCACUGUAAUCAGGGAGGUAAAAUCUGCCAUCUUUGAUCUGCUUCGCUGUCAAAUUCAGGAAGGCAAGAUCUGCAAUCUUCAAUCUGCUCUGCUACAAACGAGAGAGGCAAGGUUUGUCUUUGAUUUUUACUGAUCUGUUCUCUAGGGAACAUGACCUGUAUAAUGAACCUAAUUAUGCCUAAUGAUUAGGAUGGCAUGAUCAGAAUGGAUCAAAUGUUCCUAACUAGAUGUGCGUGAAUGACAUUUGAAUGAAUGCAGAAUGUCAUGAAAAUGAUUCCUUAAUGCUUAGGUUGUCAUUCCUCAUUGUUCAUCAAGGUUCUAUCACUGAUGCCUUCUUGUUCAGCCAGUACCUUUGAUAGAAAACCUAAAGAAAUAGACGCUAUUUAGACUAUCAUUUCUCAAAUGUUUCCAACCCUUAGGUUUGGUUAGUUCUAAACAAUAGUCUUGUUUCAGGUCCUCGUAUUAUUUAGAAACUUUCAGAGUAAUAUGCAGAACUCCUUCUGCCUGUGUAUUGUCAGUCCAUUAAUCGUUAUUUCAAUGAAAAAUGCUUGAAAAAGAUUAUCAAAAUGGACAAAAUGAAAUUUUGUUGAGAGCAAAGCUCUUAAACAAACAAAUCAAUCAAGAUAGCAAAUUUUGCUGAGAUACGAGAUGAAUAAGAUGAAAAAGAUUAUCACAAUGGAUAAGACGAAAAUUUGUUGAGAGCAAAGCUCUAAAUGAACAAAUUAAUCAAGAUAGCAAAUUUUGCUAAAGUACAGAACGAGGAUAAAUUAAUCAAGAUGAUGUAUUUUGUCAAAAAUACAAAAAAUGAAUAAAAUGGAAAUAGGUGCCCCAGAUAUCGUAGCAUGAGCUUCUCUGCCCCAAACUUCUUAAGGACCCUUUUGAACUUGAUAUGUGUUUAGAAGUCCUAGAAGGCUUUGUUGAUGCCCCAUCUUUGAUCGAAAACUACUUUAUGCCUCAUCUUUGAUCGAAAAUUUGAAUUGCCCAUUCCUGGGUUUUCAAUUCAAAACCCCUUUGGUCUCAAGGUGCCCUUUGCGGGUUUUCGCCUUGGCCUCUCCUUUUUUUUUUUAGGCAAAGUACCUCUUCACUGAAUCCGAAUUCACAGGAUUGGGCAAGCUUUUGCCAUCCAUCCCAGUUAAAAUUAAUGCCCCUCCUGAAAAGGCCUUUUUUACUACAUAAGGUCCCUCCCAGUUUGGCAUCCACUUUCCUCUGAAGUCUUUUUGUAUGGGAAGGAUCUUCUUCAGUACCAAAUCCCCUUCAUGGAAGUUUCUAGGACGAACUUUCUUAUUGUAAGCUCGCAUCAUUUGUUUCUGGUACAUUUGACCAUGACGGAUAGCUCUUAACCUCCUUUCUUCAAUCAAGUUCAGCUGAUCAUAUCGGGAUUGGACCCAUUCUGCUUCGUCUAACUUUAGUUCUGAAAAAACUCGGAGGGAGGGAAUUUUAACCUCAAUUGGUAGCACUGCCUCCAUUCCAUAAACCAAAGAGAAUGGUGUUGCCCCGGUAGAAGUCCUGACGGACGUUCGAUAAGCAUAGAGGGCGAAUGGCAACUUCUCGUGCCAAUCUCUAUAGGUCUCAGUCAUUUUCUCCACAAUCCUUUUGAUAUUUUUAUUGGCUGCCUCCACCGCACCAUUCAUCUUUGGACGGUAUGGUGAUGAGUUGUGGUGCUUGAUAUUGAAUUGACUACAAACCUCUACUAUCGUGCUAUUAUUCAAAUUUAAUGCGUUGUCAGAUAUAAUCCUUUCGGGCAUUCCAUACCGACAUAUGAUUUCCUUUUUUAAAAACCUGCUGACAGCUGCCUUUGUGACGUUCGCGUAAGAAGUAGCCUCUACCCACUUAGUAAAGUAGUCAAUCACUACAAAAAUGAAACGAUGUCCGUUUGAAGCCUUUGGCGAUAUCAGCCCAAUGACGUCCAUGCCCCACAUGGAGAAAGGCCAUGGGGAAGUCAUGACGUGAAGAGGUGAUGGAGGCACAUGGAUUUUGUCUCCGUAAAUCUGGCAUUUAUGGCACUUCUUAGCAUAUUUGAUGCAGUCUCCUUCCAUGGUAGACCAAUAAUAUCCAAAUCUCAUGAUUUGUCUGGCCAUUGUGAAACCGUUAGCGUGUGUUCCACAAAUACCAUCAUGGACUUCUUCCAAGAUCUGUUUGGCCUCCACAGCGUCCACACAUCUUAACAGCACCUGAUCUUUUCCUCCUUUGUACAGGAUCUCUCCAUCUAAGACGUAAUCACUGGCCAGCCUCCUCAACAUUCUCUUGUCAUUCUCAGUUGCUUGGUUUGGGUAUUCACGAUUUUUCACGUAUCGCAAUAUGUCCUGGUACCAAGGGUUGUCGUCCUUUUCUUCUUCCUUGUCAAUGUUACAACAGUGGGCUGGAGCAUCAUAAAUGCUCAUUUGGAUAGGUUUCACAUCCUCUGGUCUAUUUACUUUGAUCAUGGAAGCUAAUGUAGCUAAAGCGUCAGCCAUCUGAUUCUCGUCUCGUGGGAGGUAACAAAAAGUGAUGUCGUCAAACUCCUCAAUCAAUUCUAGGACUAUCAUUCGGAAACUAAUCAACUUAGGGUCUCUUGUUUCCCAUUCGCCUUUGAGCUGAUAAAUUACCAAUGCCGAAUCCCCACAUACCUCAAGUACCUUGAUUUUGCGUUCCAUAGCCGCACGGAUUCCCAUUAUACAUGCUUCAUAUUUCGCCAUGUUAUUUGCGUAAUCAAAAUCUAGUUUACUGGUGAAAGGAUAAUGAUCACCGUUUGGAGAUACCAAGACUGCCCCAAUCCCGUUGCCCAUGGCAUUUGAGGCUCCGUCAAAAUUUAAUUUCCAAGUAUUGCCUUCUUGUGUGCUUGCUUCAGUAGUUGCCACAUACAUCAGAUCCUCAUUUGGGAAAUCAAAGUUCAAAGGCUCAUAAUCGUCCAGGGUUCUACUUGCUAGAAAAUCUGCUAUCGCGCUCCCUUUUACAGCCUUUUGAUUCACAUAGGUUAUGUCAAAUUCAGAUAGUAGAAUUUGCCAUCGGGCCAUCCUUCCGUUUAGAGCAGUUGACUCCAUCAUGUAUUUCAGAAGGUCUAACUUUGAGAUUAACCAAGUCGUAUGGUACAACAUGUAUUGUUUCAAUCUCCGAGUAGUCCAAACCAAUGCGCAACAUAAUUUUUCAAUUGGCGAAUAUCUCGUUUCGUAUUCAGUGAACUUCUUACUGAGAUAAUAGAUCGCUCUUUCCUUUCGUCCUGACUCAUCAUGUUGGCCGAGCACGCACCCCAUAGAAUUCUCAAAUACUGCCAAGUAUAGUAUCAGUGGCUUGUCAGGGCAAGGUGGCAUCAGUACUGGGGCGUUGGACAAGUAAUGUUUAACUCUUUCGAAAGUUUUCUGGCACUCUUUAUCCCAUACACCUGGAUUGUGUUUCCUACGAAGACGGAAUAUGGGGUCACAUUUCUUAGUUAAUUGUGAAAUGAAUCGAGCGAUGUAAUUUAGUCUUCCUAGGAAACCCCGAACUUCUUUUUGAGUACUUGGCGGAGAUAAUUCUUGUAUGGCCUUAACUUUGUCUGGGUCAAUUUCAAUUCCUUUUUCGCUGACUAAGAAUCCUAGCAAUUUUCCUGAUCUAGCCCCGAAAGUACACUUGGCUGGGUUAAGUUUUAGCUGGAACUUCCUUAACCUUAGAAACAGUUUUCUCAGAACUUGCACGUGUUCCCCUUCUGUUCUGGAUUUUGCGAUCAUAUCAUCAACAUAAACUUCUAUCUCUUUAUGCAUCAUAUCAUGGAAUAAUGCUACCAUGGCUCUCUGAUACGUUGCUCCCGCAUUUUUCAAUCCAAAAGGCAUCACUUUAUAACAAAACGUCCCCCACAUCGUUAUGAAUGUGGUAUUCUCCCUGUCUUCAGAAAGCAUCUUAAUUUGGUUGUACCCGGAGAAACCAUCCAUGAAAGAGAACAGUGAGUAUCCGGCCGUGUUGUCUACCAAGGUAUCGAUAUGAGGCAGUGGGAAAUUAUCUUUUGGGCUGGCUUUGUUCAAGUCUCUGUAGUCCACACACAUUCGCACCUUCCCAUCUUUCUUAGGAACAGAGACUAUAUUGGCUACCCAUUCUGAGUACUUGACCACCUGUAAGAAACCAGCAUCAAAUUGCUUCUUAACUUCUUCCUUUAUUUUUAGCAAGACAUCAGGCCUCAUCCUUCGGAGCUUUUGUUGGACUGGUUUGCAUUCUUCUUUUAUAGGCAAUCGGUGUACCACGAUAUCAGUACUUAACCCUGGCAUAUCUUGGUAGGACCACGCGAAGACAUCUUUAAACUCUUGAAGCAACUCAACAAGGUCUUGCCUUGUUUCCUUGGCAAUGCAAGCGCCAAUUUUUACCUCUCUGCCCUCUUCUAAGAUCACAACUUCUACUGAUUCCUUAUAGGGUAGAAUUUGUUUUUCUUCUUCUUCCAUCAUUCUUAACAAAUCCGGAGAUAAAACGCUGUCUUGGUCACCUUCAAAAUCUUGAGGAUCAUCUAUACUCAUGUCUUGCUCAAAUAGGGACUCUGAAUUAGUAACAGAGUCACUCAUCUCGUUGAUAUCUGAAGACCUGUUAUUGGAACAAAUGGAGGCCCAAAUAAAAGGAUCUAAGAAUACUUGUAUGCAUAUUAUGAUUAUAAAGGGAAUGAAAAGAAUGAAAGAAUAUUUGCUCAAGAUGAAACUGAAUGAUAAGUUUUCACUGAAAUUAGAUUUUGGACAUGUGCCUUUUACAAAAGAUUCUUAUCACCCCCAGGCUUAGGGCAACACGUGUUCUGAAUAUUACUCUAGAUUAGCUCUAAAAAUACAGGGAUCUCUUCCACAGUCCCAUUGUUCAAAACACUCCUAAAUAUGCAAAAGUUUGGAGACUUUUAUUCCUCAGUUCCCUUUUCGGAUAUAUCAUUGAAAUUCCUCGAUAUUCCUUUCAGGCUUUUGACUUGUUCAAGGCAUUACAACUCUUUGCUCAUUAUCGUGUAACGUAAAGAUGCCUAGUCAUUUGACUUUUGUCGGUUUCCAAGUUAACUGGGAUAAUUUUACCUAAUUAGGGUCCUUUUAGGGAAAGUCUAAUGCAAAAUAAAGCAAUGCAAUGCAAAUGCAUGAAAUGAAUGCAAAAGAAAGGAAGGCGUUGAUUCUAAAUUUAAUUCUAUUAGAAUAAUUUUUCUAAAAAAUAGAUUUUUUUACAUGAAAAUAGUUUACAUAUGUGGUAUUGCCCUUCAUAGUCCAAGUAAACGCUGAUAUUUUCUUCAUGGUUAAACCCUGUAAAUUCUCCAAAAGAUGCAUUUGCUAGCUCCUUACUGCUUAAUCUGAGCCUCGAUCUCUUGCUCGCUUAUCUUCAAGAUACUCAUCAAAAAGUGCCAGCUCUUGGAUAAUCUUCGUUGGCAAUUAAAUCAAGUCAUGUAUUCCUUCGUGGACUUCCGGCUUUCUCUCGUCAUGCCUUCGUUGGCUUGAAUCUCUAGAAAUUACAUUAUGUAUUCCUCCGUGAACUACCAGCUUUCUCUCAUCGUGUUUACUCAGACUAUAUUCAGACGACCGCACUAUAAUCCACUUUAUCAAGAAAUUCGCUUCCUUAUGACAAACUAUUCUAUUUAGGAAUCGAAUUUCGAAUCAACACAUUCUUUUCUUUGAUGUAAUGCAAAUACAUGAAUGCAAAAAAAAAGGAAGACAUUGAUUCUGAAUUUAAUUUCAUUGGAACAACUUUUCUAGAAAACAAAUUCCUUUACAUAAAACGGACUACAUACACGGUCUUUCUCUCAUAUUCCAAGUGAAGACACCUUUCUUCCUCUUCAUAUCUGGAUCUUAUGGUCGAGUCUGACGAAUUCUCCAAGAGAUGUCUAUAUUAACUCCUUUUUUGCUUGAUCCAGGCUGCGACUCGUUGCUCACUUAUUUCUAUGAUACUUUUCAGCUCUUUUAAGAAAGUCAAGACAUGACAGCUCUCGAAUAAUCUUUGUUAGUUUCUGUCUUUAGGCAAUGAAGCAAAGUCUUGUAUUUCUUCACGGACUAUCAGCCUUCUUUCAUGUAUUCACUUGGACCAUAUUUAGACAACCGUGUUAUAAUCCACUUUAUCAAAAAAAAUUGUUUUCUUAUGACAAACUGUUCUAUUUAGCAAUCAAAUAUGAAUCAACACCUCCUUCCUAGGAUGAUGUAAUACAAUGCAAUUAUAAACAAAAAAAACAAAACACGUUAGUGCAGAAUAAAUAACAAAUAAAGCAAUUCGGGUGACCACUAGGGGUUUGGAGUGGCUCUACGUAGGGUAGGCUCCUAGGUCUCUCUAUAUGUGGUUUGGUUCUUGAGUAAGGGUACCUGAACCAACAGAUUCCUCGAUCCUCACCCAUUAUAGGCUCAUAUGGACCGAGUUCAGUUCAGGGGAAUACAUUUCCCUAUGGCCAUGCGGAGAUGAAAAUCUCACGAAGACAUAGGUACGGAUGUAUCCCGGAAGCGAUUCACUAUCCCAUGCGGAGGUGAAAACCUCACGAAGGCGUAGUUUCUCACUCCCACUAAAAAGGGUAUGACCAGCGGUCAUGCAAUGUAAUGUGCGAAGGUAUAAAAUAAAAUACAGAACACGAUAAAAAAUAUAACUCAGAACAAAAGAGAUGCAAUGAGAGGAUCGUAAAUUUAAAUCGAAUUUUCAACUUUCGACAAAAGACAAGAAAUAAUCAACACGUGGCUUGACUCUCUUAUUGUCCCCAGUGGAGUCGCCAAGCUGUUGACACCAUUUUUUUGUUAAAAAACGGGGUCGACUUGGAUUUUGAAAAAAAGAAUGAAAACGGGAGUCGCCACCAAUCCUUUUUUGAUGAGGUGUGAUCAGGUCACCUCAAAAAGUGGUUGUUUUUAAUAAAUGAUUUAAUUUUAUUAAAACAACGAUUUUGGUCUACGAAAUUUAGAAAAAUGAGUUCGGGAAUCGGUUACGCACGAGGAAGGAUUAGCACCCUCGACACGCCCAAAAUUGGUACCUUAGUUGAUUACAUAAUGUCUUAAUGUCGAAAAUUGAGAAUUUUGAAAAUUUUUAAAAAUUUUUACGAUCCUUAUAUUAAAACAUAAAAAAAAAUUCAGGAAAAGGGACAUAUUUCACGUUAUCUGAGAAAAAAAGAAUCAUAUCCAGUAAGUUAGGACACAAUGUCUCGAAUUCCCGAUAUCGUUUAAAACUCGAAUUUGAAAAGAUUCAUGUAAUAAAGUUUAAAAGAAUAUUCAAUUGUUUAAAUCAAAUAAAGAAAUCGCAACCCAAUACGUUAGGGCACAAUUUCUCAAAAUAUUAAACAUUGAAUAUUGCAUUUAUUUCGAAAAAUCCUUGUCUCGAGAAAGCAACGUGUCACAUCCAAUGCGUUAGGACACAACAUAUUAAAUUCUUGAUAACGAGCUUUUUAUCAUUUUUUUAAAGAGUAAUCUCGAUUAUUUAAAUUCAACGAAGAAAGUCGGAACCCAAUGCAUUAGGGCUCGAUUCUCUCGAAGAUCUAAAUAUCGAAUAUUACUUUUAUUUUAAAAUUUCAUUUUUGGCCAAUCCGAUUGAAAAGAUACGAUGUGACAACAAUGAUGAUAAUGUAAGUAAAAUAACACGAGCAAAACAUAAGAUAAAUAAAUAAUAAAACGAAGAAAACAAUCAAAAAGGCACAAUAACAAAUAAUAAACAAAUAAAAACUAAAACAUGAAUAACAAGCAUUUAAACAAAUAAAUAAAUGAACAAAAUGAUCCAAAAAAAAAUUAUGAAAAGUUAAAAGACAUAUAUAUAUGUACAAAAUUAUGAAAAUAUAAAAAAAAAACAUAUGUGUGUACACAUGAAUUAUAAACCAUAGAAAUAUCAUAAGAAAAUAUAAAUUUUUAAAAUAUAAGAGUAUGUAUAAAUACAUAUAUGCAUAUUUAUGAAAAAUAAAAGAGAUACAUGUAAGUACGUAUAUACAUAAAAAAUUUAAAAUGCAAAUAUAAAUAUAUUCAUGUAUAUAAGAAUAAUAAUAAAAGGCGUAUAUAUAUGCAUGUGAAUAUUAAGUAUGUACAUAUGAAUGUAUAUAAUAUAUAUAUAAACUAUAUAUAUAAAAAAAAUAUGGUAAUGAAAUAUAUACGCACUAUAUAUAUUUAAAACAUUUAGAAAUAAAAAUAUACACAUACAUUAUAAAGUACACAUGCGUGUAUGUAUGUAAGUAUAAUAAAAAAAUAAUAAUAGUAAUAAUAAUAAUAAUAAUAAUAACUAUAUUAAUAAAAUAAACUAAAAACUUAAAAUGAAAGAUUAUGGAUUAAAUUGAAAAUAAUUGAAGUUUCAGGGGCAAAUCUGAAACAAACAAAACACCAAUGAAUCGAAUGGAACAUGCAGUUAACAGUGGAGGACCGAAAGUCAAAUUAAUCCCUCCGUCCAAAACUCCACGCAGCAAUGGAUUAAAAUAAAACAAAUUCGACAUUUCAUGGCAAAAUUUGAAAACAAACCGCAAUGAUUUUGAACUGAUGGGAUAAAAUGAAGGAUUAAAACGCAAAUAACCCAUCAGUGUUUAAAACCCUUUUCAUCUCCAAUUAAAAGCCUACUCUGCAGCAGCAAUAGACGCAAAGUUGCUUCAUCUUCCUUUUUUCUUUUUUUGUUUUAAAACAACAGAGGGAAGAAAGAGGGAUCUGCUAGGCCUUCUUUAAAGCCCUAACUACCGCCACGCCACCGCCUUUCAAGCUUCGCCGCCGAUUCCGAUUCAGGUAAGUUUCGCCCUUUCCUUUUUUGCCUUUUCUUUUGCACCAAAAACAGAGAAGCAAAGAGAAAAAAAAAUAAAAUAAAUAAAACACAAAGAAAAUUACCUUCAAAAAUUGUUUUUGAUUCUUUGUUUGUAUUUCAGUAUUUUUCCAAUACAAUAUUUUUCUCUUUUUAGUACCCAAUCCCCCUUUUCUUUGUGAUCGAUUUUGGCUUUUUAAAACCGAUCUAUAAAACAUUCAUUUCCUAUUUUUUGUUUUCGUUCUUUUGUUUAUUCUUUUCCCCAUUCCUCGCAUGCUUCCUUUUGCUGUUGUUUUUGUCUCUGUUGCAGGUGUGUCCGGUGGGGGUGGUGCACGUGAUGGCCAAGGGCAGAGGUAGCAUGGGGCGACUGAUCAGAGGCGUGCAUGCGUGAGGGGAGGUGAAGCGGCGGCAGCUACAAAGCAUGAGGCUAGGGUUUUUUUGUUUGGUUGAAAACUAGUAUAGUUUGGGCCAUUCGGGCCUCUAAGGUUUUUAUCAUUAUUGGGCAUUUGGAUUGGGUCUGUUUUUUGGGUUAAUUUUGUUGUAAUGGUCUGUUAAUUUUUAUUAGUCUUGGUCCAUUUGGGUUUUAUGGUCUGGGCCCGGGCAAAAAUGGGCUUUUACACUAAAUAAUAAAAAAUGUUAUUUUGAAAACUUACAUUAAUCCUGAAAAUGUAAGAUUACUUAAACCCAACAGUAGCAUAAACUAAUACUGAUUGCAAUUCCGUUUACUCUUUGUUUGAUGGUUCUCCUAAGGCCUGUAGAA